CGGGGGAGGGGGAGGGCGCGGCGGCCCAGGCGGAGAGGCGGAGGCCGCCCAUGGCCGGCCGGCGGCGCCGGAACUAGAAAAAAAAGAGGACAGACGGCGCGGGCUCAAUCAGUCCGAACCCUACCCCACGCGCUCUCGCUCGCUCGCUGCUCCGAUCCGAUAUGUACUAGGCUACUAGCCGGAAGCCGCGCGUUUCCGAGAUGCUUCUGCUCCCACCUUCCGUUAGCCGCCGCCGCCCGCGAUUGGUGAGCGGCGCAGCCCCCGCGCCGACGUCGUGGGUGGUGACGGACUCCAUGAUGCCAUCAUCCUCUUCCCCCCCUCCCUUUCCCACUCCCCACCACCGCUAGUCCACACACACACACAACACACGAGCGCAGCAAAACAGCAGGCGCAUUUCUGGAAUCACUUUAUGGUUUGUGC
rnacentral:lncRNA from 1 species